ensembl:lncRNA LINC02669 long intergenic non-protein coding RNA 2669
GGGGGAUUCACUGUUAUACUUGGAGGCCAUGUCACCUGAGAGUCAAUGGGCAACGAUCAAAUUUCACCUUGAGCAGAUUCUUUUGUUUGCUUUUUAGUCACAAAUAGCUUGGCCCUAAGUGGUGGCUCCCAUUCUUGUAAGAUGCGUUUAUUCAUCGUGUAAUCACCAGUUCCCUGUAGUGGGGGCGUGGAUGGAGUGUCAGAGGCUCCUGCUGGUCUUUAGGGUGUCUGGCCUCCAGGAAUCCUAGAGGUAGUAUUUGGAGAGAUUUUUAAAAGCUUUGUUUCUGUGACCAGCAAAACCUGGAUUUGACACUGAGGUCAGCCCGUUUCAGCCAGUGACGUAACCUGUCUUUUUGCCCCAGUAAAUUGGGAACUACAGCACUCGAUGUUAGAGUUGUCGUGAAGAUUAAAGAAGGUGACGACUGGACAACUCCCAGCCCAAUACCUGAAACUGUACCAGCACCCAGUGAGCACUGCUAUUCCUGUGACUGCUGCACAUUUGCCUUAUCUCAGCAGUAUGCCUGUGUCACUUUUUUGGCACUCUUUUCUCAUGGGUACAUUCAGAGAAGAGGAAUGUUUGUUCACUGGUGAAGAGAACAUCCCGUGUACUAUCGUGUAGAAGUUGUAGUAGACGCUGUGGUCUUUCCAACAACAAACAAACCUCGUGCCAGCAACUUAAAUCUAUCAGCAAUGGAGAAUGCCUGGCAUUGGCUUCUGCAUGAGUGCCGUUUUAGUUGCUUUGUAUUCUUCUACCUUGAUUUUUUUUUCUGUUUUUCUACAUGAGUGUUGCCUGCAGAGUUCCCUGAUUGACUCAAAGUACAUCUUCUAUAUUGCUUCAAGUAGUGCUGGUCAUGAACACAAUUCAGUCUUAGUCAGCUAUUGGAACUGAUUGACUGCAAAGUUCUGGUGCCUCUUCUCGCAGCCCAGGGCAGAUGGACGUGCUAUGUGGGGCCCGUACAAAACAGAAUCAUGGAGCUGGUGGGGCAAGGAGUCAACCUCCCUCCUAGGGCCUGCAGCCUCCACCAGGGCAGAGAGCAAGUUUCUCUCAGCUUCUGCUCUCAGGUGGUGACCUGGCAGGGAGGACAGCUUGGCAGUAGGUGCAGGCACUGGACGGGGACCUCCUGGCUCCUCUCCUAGCUCUUGCAGCACCAGCCAUAAGGCACUCAGAUCAUGCAACUUCCCGGUGUCUCCGUCUCUGCAUCUUUAAAAUGGGGCUAAUAAGAACACUUUUCUCAUAGACUUAUAAAGAGAAUUAAUUAAAAAAAAUAAUGCUUGGCUCAGAAUGUACACUCCAUGAACAUCACCUGUUACCACUUAAGAAGGGUGCGUACCCUCCAGCCGCAUCCAUGCCAGUUCCCGUUGUCUCACCCUGGGCCAGCGACACCCAUCUUAAGUCACAAUUGAGAAUACAAGCAAGACACGCUGAAAUCUACCAGAAUAAAGGUCCAUCUUCACAGAACAAGCCUGUUUACACUUGAACCCACAGUUUUUCAGUCAUAUCCAGACUUCAAGGAGGGAAGAGGGCUCCACCGCAGGCUUCCUGUAGCAAGCAUGGGGGCCAUAUCUGAGUCCCCUGUGGCGUUCUGUCACCAUAGACUGUGACUUUCAAACAGCACAGUCACUUCUCACAGUGUUAAAGGUCAGAAGUCCCAGAUCAAGGUUCUGGCAGAUCUGGUAUCUGCUGCUGGGACAGGACCCAGGAGGUUCCGGAGGAUCAGGAGGUCCACCUGGGAGAAGAGCUGAUCGGCUAGUAGGAGAGCUGGAAAAGCAACAGACACCUACUUAGUCCCUUCCCUGGGGCCCGGCUCCAGUCUGAGCUGUCACGCCACAGCAAAGGCAUCACUUCAGGACAGCAAAGCCCCUGUCUCCCUCCCUUCCAGCUCCUCAGACUUCACCCUGGUAACACGUUUGUUUAAAAAACAUAUUUUUCCCCCUUGUAAAGAAUCUAGGAUACAAGGGGUCAGCCCAGCAGUUUAGGUAUCAAGAAGAAACUGCUCUCGGAGCUAAAGUAAGAAACAGUGCCUGUCUAUAGCGCAAAUAAAGAGUUGGAACAAGAUAAAA